ACAGAACUAGGAAAAGGUUCUAGAAGCAGCAGAACUAGGAAAAGGUUCUAGAAGCAGCAACAGAACUAGGAAAAGGUUCUAGAAGCAGCAACAGAACUAGGAAAAGGUUCUAGAAGCAGCAGAACUUCCUCAGAGUUCUGGAGACGAACCCAGAGACCCGGAGAAGUCCAGCUCCUCUGGUUUCCUCUUCCGGCUCUUGGUCCGGGGAGCGACGUCCAGAACCGCCGUCUCCUCGUCUGGACCUGCAGACAGAAAGCAGGUUCCUGUUGGACGACCCAGACCAGCUUUAACCGGGAUGAAGAACCGACUGGAUCAGAACCGACCUUCCUCCUCCUCUUCCUCCAGCUCAGGAACUGAAAGAGGAAGAAACUGGAAUCAGACCCGGAUGAACAGAACGUGACCCAAAGCAGCGUCUCUGCAUCACCCCCUACCAUCAUCAUCAUCAUCAUCAUCAGGGUGGAUGAAGGCCCCGCCUUCCUCCUCCAGCUCGUCUCCAAAGUCUUCCUCGUCCAUGCUGCCCAGGGACACCUCCUCA